CCUUAAGUGAUAUAUCAAGACAGGGAUUGUAGAUUAGCAGAAUGUUUAGUGGGCCUGAGUCAAAGGUGACAGUCACUCCCAGAUGCUCUAAUCCACCACCUGUGAAAGAAGGGAUAGAGAGAGGGCUUGAGGGAAGGGACUGGUGGAUCAGUAGAAGUAGGCCGCCUCCUACUUCGCUGGUCUCCCUGUCCUUCCUGUAGGAAGUAUAGUUUGGAAAGGAGGGGAAGAAUGGGUCUGUGAGCCACGUCUCACAGACACCGACAAUGAGAGGAGAGUAUGAGGAGAGCGUGGUUUUAAAAGUUGGAAGUUUCCUGUACAAAGACCGGGCAUUCCAGAAAAUGAAGCUGGAGACAAUUGGAUCACUCACUGCGUGAGUGAUGUGAUGUAGGAGAGGAGUCCUGGCAGGCAUCAAAGGAGGCUCUCGCUGAAGCUAUGCCCUGAAAGCAGGAAGUUAAAGAAAUUGAGUGCUCUUGGUGCUAAUCCCUUAAUAAAAGCAGGCCAUGCAAAACCCGAAGCAUGCUGGGCCGGAGGCGAGGAAGAGGAUGGUACAAAGUCUGCACUACCAAGUGAGGGCAAGGAUUGCUGGGCUGCUGGCUGUGGGGCUUUUGGCUGGGGAACCUUUGGUGGGUGGCAUUGGUGUAGAGUGGUUGGGGGUAUGAAUUCCCCAGCAUCUGACAGGUCAGUUCGGUAGGGGCCCUCGGGGAUGAAGGAGGGUCUGGUGGUGUGUCGUGGUGUGACUUUGUGGUAUGGUUUGUGGUGGUGGUGGCUCCGUUGGGCCUUGGGUGAGGGAGGCUGGGCGGUUAGUGGUACCACAUUAAUAAUGGGGCUCAGGGGCUGGAUGGGAGCAGGAGUAGGAUCAGGAGUGGGAGCGGGGAUGGAUGUUGGGUGAGGAGCAAGGGUGGGGGCAGAGGUGGGGACUUCAGGUGUGUGAGGGCAAGUGAGGUGUAGGGGGAAAGUUGAGGAUUGCCUGGUUUGGGAGGUGUGUAUUUUGGAGCAGGGUUUGGUGGGCGAAAAAUGCCUGGGAGGAUACCUCUCAUUUUUCGUUUCACAUCUAGGAGAGAGUGGGCCCCGCCAUGCUGCAGUUCUUGCAGCUGCACUGCCUGGAGGCGAGCCGGGCACUGUUUGGAGGUGGGGCGGUGGCCAGAACCACAAAAGAAACAGUGGUCCUCCCUGACACAACCAUCAGUGUCAUGGUAACCACUGCAUUUCUUGCAUCGGGCACGCCCAUUGCAGGAAAUGUUGCUGUGGCCAAACAGGAGGCAACGGGUGCAGCGCAGGACUGGGAGGGUGUGGGGCCUAACAUGGUAAACCAUGUUUCCUAGGGCCACCCUUUCAGGGAAGGGGCCCACUGAAUUUUAGGCGAAUGGCCAGGUUCGGGACUGUCUGUCUGUCCUUGUCAUGGUCUGGGAGUCAUAAAACGUCAACAAUCUGAGUGGGGCUGCCAUCUAGGAUGGUUAUCUGGGUCAUGAUGUCAUGUUUAGUCAUGUCGGGGGAAACAGGGUAAAUUCUACCAAAUUGUCAGUGGCCACCCUGCACUUAACAGGCCACUCUCCCAGUCGGGUUACUGACUCUGGGGCCUGUUCCAGGUGAUCAAGGUUGGCCACCUCAAACUUAAUUCCUCGGCCACCUCCAGUGAUGGCCAAGGUUUGCUCUAUGUAUUUUUUGGCAAAGAUUGAGCCACACACAGCCCUGGAGACCUUGGAUGGGUGGAUGAAGCACCUACUGCCAUCAAGAAAGCGAAUGAGUACCACCUGCUUACAAGUGGGGGGCGGGUGUGGGGGCCCAGCAGACUCAGCAGUGCGAGAAGGGGUAGAGGCGGUCACACAAGCGUAGGAGCAGGUUGUGUAAUAUAAAGUGAAUUGUUAAUCUAUUAAGUUCAUGUUAAGUUCAUGUAUCUCGCUGAGCUCGAGGUUUGCUUCACAGCCCUCUUUAGCAGGUGAUAAGUUUGCCUGCCUUGCACUCACUGGUCAGUCGGCCUCCUGCUCUCUCUCCUCGAGCACUGUCAAGAUUUAGUCGAAUAAAGCCUAGCUUGAAGGCUAUUCCUUGUCUUCUUACGGACAUAUAUAACAAUUUAUUCGACUACAUCUUCUACUGGGACGAGCUACGAUGGAGAAGUUCCUUCGGCCUGAGAGGUUGGAAGCUCACCCUGACACCAGCCCUCUACAGUGGCAGCAUUGGUUCAGCACAUUCACCAACUUCCUGCAAUCCAUCGAGCAACCGUCUGAUACUACUAAGUUCCGGCUCCUCAUCAACUAUGUGUCUCCCUCAGUGUACUCCUACAUUGCAGAUUGCAAGACCUACGACAAAGCUAUCAAGACUCUACAAGCUGUAUUUGUAAAACCUACUAGUGAAGUGUUUGCUCGUCAUCAGUUGGCCACCAGGAAACAACAGGAUAGUGAAUCCGUAGACCAGUAUGUGCUAGCACUCAAGCUAAUGGCCAAAGACUGUGCAUUUAAGGCCGUUACUGCCGAAAAGUAUGCUGAAGAGGCCGUGCGUGACUCAUUUAUCUCUGGUCUCUCCUCUUCUGUCAUUCGUCAGCGGCUGUUAGAAAAGCUGUCCCUCACCCUUGAAGAAGCCGUUCAACAAGCUCGCAGCUUGGAACUGGCACAACACAACGCUGAUAAGUAUGCCUCUCUCUCUUCCUCCGACUGUCAUUCCACGGCUGUAGCUGUUACCGACCCUCGAGUGUUUAAUGAUAAUGAGGAAGUUACAGCUUCAGCUAAAACCACUGCUGCUACGAAAAAUUCUUUCUAUUGUGAGCGCUCCCUACAUCCUCGCUACACUUGUCCUGCUCGCAACGCUACUUGCCACAAGUGUGGGAGGAAAGGCCACUAUGCUAGUGUUUGCCAGGCUGGAGCGGGGCGGAACAGGCCUGGUACUUCCGCGGCGAUUGUGUCGUCCAUGACUACGAGUGCUGCUUCGACUUCACCCCUUCGCUGUGCGACGACACCUGCUGACAUCAAUGAGAUAGCUGUACUGGCGUCGUAUAUAGCUGCUGCCGAGGAGGGCAGGGAAGCAUCUCUGGAGCCGUCCGUGUAGAUCUUGAGGUGGUGGUGAUAAAUGGACCGGUCCAGCUGUUGGAAGUGGGCUGCUGCUAAUCCACUCACAGAUGGUUUGGGAGGAAGCCCAGGAACGUGGAGAGCAAAAUUAUGGGUGACGUCCAGCCAUGAAGGAAAAGGAGGUGCGGAGAUAACUGAUGUGAUUUACCCAGGAGAGGCGAGGGCCAUCCAGCCGCAGUCCGAGGAGGGUGUGUGAGGUUGAGUAUGGAACAGCCUCCCCACUUAAGUUGACGGGUCAGCCAGUGGGGUAGAAUCAUCAUCAGAAAAUGGGAUGUUCUGAGAUACCAACUUGCCCUCCAUGGAGCGGAGAAAGGACAUGGUACUCUUGGGAGAGGAGCGGAAGGAGAGAGUGGAGCAGUGCAGGUCCCAUGCAUUUCGCUUUGCCUUGAGGAUGGUCUUGGCACAGAUGGCGUCCAGGCGGCGGUAAGCACGGCCAGCCUGGAUA